UAGGCAGACAGUAAAUUACCAGAUGCACAGGCAGGCCACGAAAAAACGUUAACAGGUUUAUUAGCAGCUCUAUCCGGCGCUAAUUUAAUCUAUGGCCCAG
rfam:Desulfitibacter sp. BRH_c19 BRHa_1003994, whole genome shotgun sequence.